rnacentral:rRNA from 1 species
AUUGAACGCUGGCGGCAGGCUUAACACAUGCAAGUCGAGCGGGGGAAGGUAGCUUGCUACUGGACCUAGCGGCGGACGGGUGAGUAAUGCUUAGGAAUCUGCCUAUUAGUGGGGGACAACAUCUCGAAAGGGAUGCUAAUACCGCAUACGUCCUACGGGAGAAAGCAGGGGAUCUUCGGACCUUGCGCUAAUAGAUGAGCCUAAGUCGGAUUAGCUAGUUGGUGGGGUAAGGGCCUACCAAGGCGACGAUCUGUAGCGGGUCUGAGAGGAUGAUCCGCCACACUGGGACUGAAACACGGCCCAGACUCCUACGGGAGGCAGCAGUGGGGAAUAUUGGACAAUGGGGGGAACCCUGAUCCAGCCAUGCCGCGUGUGUGAAGAAGGCCUUAUGGUUGUAAAGCACUUUAAGCGAGGAGGAGGCUACUUUAGUUAAUACCUAGAGAUAGUGGACGUUACUCGCAGAAUAAGCACCGGCUAACUCUGUGCCAGCCGCCGCCGUAA